GAGGUUUGCACGGCGUGGCUCUGAAACAAAGCUUGGCUCGUUCUCUGCUGCUCACUUUGCAGUCUGAAGGGUGAAAAAGUUAAGAAUACACAAAGCUGCCCAACAUGUUGACCAAAUCUACCAGAGAAUUGCAUUCAACCCAAACCUUAACAUGUAUGCUAACAAGCAUUUAAACCUAAGCCAAUGUUUAGAACUACGUGUAGAAAUGUACAGGAUAUCAAUGUGCACAUAAACCAGGAACGAGCGUUGAGAUGGUCAGCUCGUCAUUUGAAUCGGGCGUGUUGGACGAGGGAAACGUGUAAAACACGGGAGGAUGGGGGGCCUCGGGGACCUGAGUUUUGCUGACCCUGGUUUCGAGUUAGCAGCUGUCUGCUCAACAUUAGCCAGUCGGCGUUGUGACGAGCGCGCGGGCGCCAGCCGCCACU